rnacentral:rRNA from 1 species
AUAAGUAAAAACUUUCAACAACGGAUCUCUUGGUUCUGGCAUCGAUGAAGAACGCAGCGAAAUGCGAUAAGUAAUGCGAAUUGCAGAAUCCGUGAGUCAUCGAAUCUUUGAACGCACAUUGCGCCCUUUGGUAUUCCGAAGGGCAUGCCUGUUCGAGCGUCA